ACGGCUUAAACUGGAGAAAGACAGUGGAAACAGACCUUUUCAAACUUCGCAGACCUACACUUACGUUCCAUUCUGCUUUUAACCGUGGAGGACCCAAAUAGGACGUGAGAAAUUGGAAUAAUUUUAUUCUCUAGAAGCAUCGCAGAGAACAACAAAACCGUUGCACUCUGGCUGCUGAGCAACAGAGCCCAGGGACUCCCUCCUGCAGACCAGGCUUCGGGAACGGGAUUCUCUUCUGUGAAGAGGCGAGGCUUCUCAAAUAGCUGAAAGCCCAAAUAUUGAAUCUGCAAAAGCUAAGAGUAAGGGUGAAGAUAAAAACGACACACUGUUGGCGGGCGCGGUGGCUCACGCCUGUAAUCCCAGCACUUUGGGAGGCUGAGGCAGGCAGAUCACAAGGUCAGGAGAUCGAGACCAUCCUGGCUAAC